rnacentral:rRNA from 1 species
AGCGAACGCUGGCGGCAGGCUUAACACAUGCAAGUCGAGCGGGCGUAGCAAUACGUCAGCGGCAGACGGGUGAGUAACGCGUGGGAACAUACCUUUUGGUUCGGAACAACACAGGGAAACUUGUGCUAAUACCGGAUAAGCCCUUACGGGGAAAGAUUUAUCGCCGAAAGAUUGGCCCGCGUCUGAUUAGCUAGUUGGUGAGGUAACGGCUCACCAAGGCGACGAUCAGUAGCNGGUCUGAGAGGAUGAUCAGCCACAUUGGGACUGAGACACGGCCCAAACUCCUACGGGAGGCAGCAGUGGGGAAUAUUGGGCAAUGGGCGCAAGCCUGAUCCAGCCAUGCCGCGUGAGUGAUGAAGGCCCUAGGGUUGUAAAGCUCUUUUGUGCGGGAAGAUAAUGACGGUACCGCAAGAAUAACGCCCCGGCUAACUUCGUGCCAGCAGCCGCCGUAAU